rnacentral:rRNA from 1 species
UACAGAGGUCUCGAGCGUUGUUCGGAUUCAUUGGGCGUAAAGGGCGCGUAGGCUGCGGGGCAAGUCGGGUGUGAAAUCUCAGAGCUCAACUCUGAAACUGCACUCGAUACUGCUUUGCUUGAGGACUGGAGAGGAGAUUGGAAUUCACGGUGUAGCAGUGAAAUGCGUAGAUAUCGUAAGGAAGACCAGUGGCGAAGGCGGGUCUCUGGACAGUUCCUGACGCUGAGGCACGAAGGCCAGGGGAGCAAACGGG